rnacentral:rRNA from 1 species
CCGCGUGUGUGAAGAAGGCCUUCGGGUUGUAAAGCACUUUCAGUUGUGAGGAAAAGUUAGUAGUUAAUACCUGCUAGCCGUGACGUUAACAACAGAAGAAGCACCGGCUAACUCCGUGCCAGCAGCCGCGGUAAUACGGAGGGUGCGAGCGUUAAUCGGAAUUACUGGGCGUAAAGCGCACGCAGGCGGUUUGUUAAGCUAGAUGUGAAAGCCCCGGGCUCAACCUGGGAUAGUCAUUUAGAACUGGCAGACUAGAGUCUUGGAGAGGGGAGUGGAAUUCCAGGUGUAGCGGUGAAAUGCGUAGAUAUCUGGAGGAACAUCAGUGGCGAAGGCGACUCCCUGGCCAAAGACUGACGCUCAUGUGCGAAAGUGUGGGUAGCGAACAGGAUUAGAUACCCUGGUAGUCCACACCGUAAACGCUGUCUACUAGCUGUUUGUGACUUUAAGUCGUGAGUAGCGAAGCUAACGCGCUAAGUAGACCGCCUGGGGAGUACGGCCGCAAGGUUAAAACUCAAAUGAAUUGACGGGGGCCCGCACAAGCGGUGGAGCAUGUGGUUUAAUUCGAUGCAACGCGAAGAACCUUACCUACACUUGACAUGCUGAGAACUUUCUAGAGAUAGAUUGGUGCCUUCGGGAACUCAGACACAGGUGCUGCAUGGCUGUCGUCAGCUCGUGUCGUGAGAUGUUGGGUUAAGUCCCGCAACGAGCGCAACCCUUGUC